CAGCAGCCGCGGUAAUACAGAGGGUGCGAGCGUUAAUCGGAUUUACUGGGCGUAAAGCGUGCGUAGGCGGCUUCUUAAGUCGGAUGUGAAAUCCCUGAGCUUAACUUAGAAAUUGCAUUCGAUACUGGGAAGCUAGAGUAUGGGAGAGGAUGGUAGAAUUCCAGGUGUAGCGGUGAAAUGCGUAGAGAUCUGGAGGAAUACCGAUGGCGAAGGCAGCCAUCUGGCCUAAUACUGACGCUGAGGUACGAAAGCAUGGGGAGCAAACAGGAUUAGAUACCCCAGUAGUCCCUGUCUCUUAUAC
rnacentral:rRNA from 1 species